rnacentral:rRNA from 1 species
UACGGGGGGGGCGAAGCGUUGUUCGGAAUUACUGGGCGUAAAGGGCUCGUAGGCGGCCAACUAAGUCCGACGUGAAAUCCCCAGGCUUAACCUGGGAACUGCGUCGGAUACUGGUUGGCUUGAAUCCGGGAGAGGGAUGCGGAAUUCCAGGUGUAGCGGUGAAAUGCGUAGAUAUCUGGAGGAACACCGGUGGCGAAGGCGGCAUCCUGGACCGGCAUUGACGCUGAACAGCGAAAGCCAGGGGAGCAAACGGG